GGAUGUGAGGGGGGUCUGGCUGUGACGUCUGUCAUCCCACUGAUUGCCAGGGUUGAUUCAGCUGAUCUGCCUGGCUAGGCAGGUCUCCCCUUCUUCCCUCACUGCUCCAUGUGCAUCCCUCCCUAAGCUGCGUGCUAGGUUGAAGAGGACAACCUUCCCCGAUAGAGGCGAGUCAUUCUUUGGUCAACGGUAUACGAGUAGCUGCGCUCCCCUGGUAGAACCUCCAAACAAGCUCUCAAAAACCUGCACAUGAUGUUUAUAGCAGCUUUAUUCAUAAUUGCCAAAACUUGGAAGCAGCCAAGAUAUCCUUCAGUAGGUGAAUGGAUAAAUAAACUGUAGUACAUCCAGAUAA
rnacentral:snRNA from 1 species